AGAGUUGAUCAUGGCUCAGGAUGAACGCUGGCGGCGUGCUUAACACAUGCAAGUCGAACGAUUAAACCGCCCUCGGGCGGACAUAGAGUGGCGAACGGGUGAGUAACACGUGACCAACCUGCCCCGCACUCCGGGAUAACCUGCGGAAACGCAGGCUAAUACCGGAUACUCCGCGCAGGCCGCAUGGCCCGCGCGGGAAAGCCCUUACGGUGCGGGAUGGGGUCGCGGCCCAUUAGGUAGACGGCGGGGUGACGGCCCACCGUGCCCGCGAUGGGUAGCCGAGCUGAGAGGCUGACCGGCCACAUUGGGACUGAGAUACGGCCCAGACUCCUACGGGAGGCAGCAGUGGGGAAUUUUGCGCAAUGGGGGCAAACCCCCUGACGCAGCAACGCCGCGUGCGGGAAGAAGGCCUUCGGGUUGUAAACCGCUUUCAGCGGGGACGAUAAUGACGGUACCCGCAGAAGAAGCUCCGGCUAACUACGUGCCAGCCGCCGC
rnacentral:rRNA from 1 species